UUAUAGAAAUAUAGUAUGAAAAUUUAUUAAAAGGAACUCGGCAAAUUCAGGCCCCGCCUGUUUAACAAAAACAUCGCUAAAAGUAGUUGAUUUUUAGUAGUACCUGCCCAGUGCGUAUUAUCUUGUUAACGGCCGCCUUAGCGUGAGGGUGCUAAGGUAGCGAAAUUCCUUGCCUUUUAAUUGUAGGCCAGCAUGAAUGGUUUGACGAGGGCCUCACUGUCUCUUAGUUCUAUGUUGAAAUUGUAGUGUAGGUGAAGAUACCUUCAUAAAAAAGUAAGACAAAAAGACCCCGUGCAACUUUGAAAAUUAAGCUAGAUUAAAUGGCAAAAGAUUUUUAGGUGGGGCGCCAAAAGAGGAAACUAUAACCUCUGCUGUUUAAGCUAAUUCUUACUGGAGUUGACCUGACUUAAGUCGAUCAAAGGAGAAGUUACGCCGGGGAUAACAGGCCAAUUCUUUAGUAAAGCUCGUAUUAACUAAAGGGCUUGGCACCUCGAUGUUGAAUCAGGGAUUAUAGCUUCAAGGCGUAGAUGCUUUGAUUAGUAGGUCUGUUCGACCUUUGAAACCCUACGUGAUUUGAGUUCAGACCGGCGUAAGCCGGGUUGGUUUCUAUCUGCUUAAUUUAACAUUAUCUUAAUAUGUACGAAAGGACCGUUAGGAUGGGAAGGUGCGCCCAAUGUUAAAAAUAGUUCUAUUUAAUGCUAAAUGU
rnacentral:rRNA from 1 species